UGGGGAAUAUUGGACAAUGGGCGAAAGCCUGAUCCAGCAAUGCCGCGUGAGUGAUGAAGGCCUUAGGGUUGUAAAGCUCUUUUACCCGGGAAGAUAAUGACUGUACCGGGAGAAUAAGCCCCGGCUAACUCCGUGCCAGCAGCCGCGGUAAUACGGAGGGGGCUAGCGUUGUUCGGAAUUACUGGGCGUAAAGCGCACGUAGGCGGCUUUGUAAGUUAGAGGUGAAAGCCUGGUGCUCAACACCAGAACUGCCUUUAAGACUGCAUCGCUUGAAUCAUGGAGAGGCGGGUGGAAUUCCGAGUGUAGAGGUGAAAUUCGUAGAUAUUCGGAAGAACACCAGUGGCGAAGGCGGCCCGCUGGACAUGUAUUGACGCUGAGGUGCGAAAGCGUGGGGAGCAAACA
rnacentral:rRNA from 1 species